rnacentral:rRNA from 1 species
UAGGGAAUCUUCCACAAUGGACGCAAGUCUGAUGGAGCAACGCCGCGUGAGUGAAGAAGGUUUUCGGAUCGUAAAGCUCUGUUGUUGGUGAAGAAGGAUAGAGGCAGUAACUGGUCUUUAUUUGACGGUAAUCAACCAGAAAGUCACGGCUAACUACGUGCCAGCAGCCGCGGUAAUACGUAGGUGGCAAGCGUUGUCCGGAUUUAUUGGGCGUAAAGCGAGCGCAGGCGGAAUGAUAAGUCUGAUGUGAAAGCCCACGGCUCAACCGUGGAACUGCAUCGGAAACUGUCAUUCUUGAGUGCAGAAGAGGAGAGUGGAACUCCAUGUGUAGCGGUGGAAUGCGUAGAUAUAUGGAGGAACACCAGUGGCGAAGGCGGCUCUCUGGUCUGCAACUGACGCUGAGGCUCGAAAGCAUGGGUAGCGAACAGGAUUAGAUACCCUGGUAGUCCAUGCCGUAAACGAUGAGCGCUAGGUGUUGGGGACUUUCCGGUUCUCAGUGCCGCAGCAAACGCACUAAGCGCUCCGCCUGGGGGAGUACGACCGCAAGGUUGAAAC